rnacentral:rRNA from 1 species
UGCCUACGGGACGCAGCAGUGAGGAAUAUUGGUCAAUGGGCGAGAGCCUGAACCAGCCAAGUCGCGUGAAGGAUGACGGCCCUAUGGGUUGUAAACUUCUUUUGUCAGGGAGCAAUUGGGUCCACGCGUGGGCUUAGCGAGAGUACCUGAAGAAAAAGCAUCGGCUAACUCCGUGCCAGCAGCCGCGGUAAUACGGAGGAUGCGAGCGUUAUCCGGAUUUAUUGGGUUUAAAGGGUGCGCAGGCGGCGAGUUAAGUCAGCGGUAAAAUUUCGGGGCUCAACCCCGACGAGCCGUUGAAACUGGCU